rnacentral:rRNA from 1 species
AUACGUAGGUGGCGAGCGUUGUCCGGAAUUACUGGGCGUAAAGCGCAUGCAGGCGGCCGCACAAGUUGGAUGUGAAAUCUCCCGGCUCAACUGGGAGGGGACGUUCAAAACUGUGCGGCUCGAGGGCGGUAGAGGAAGGUAGAAUUCCCGGUGUAGUGGUGAAAUGCGUAGAUAUCGGGAGGAAUACCCGUGGCGAAGGCGACCUUCUGGACCGUUUCUGACGCUCAGAUGCGAAAGCUAGGGGAGCGAACGGGAUUAGAAACCCCGGUAGUCCUAGCCGUAAACGAUGUCGACUGGGCGUGGGUGGGGUAAAAGCCAUCCGUGCCGAAGCUAACGCGUGAAGUCGACCGCCUGGGGACUACGGCCGCAAGGUUAAA